GGUUCAAUGGUCUAGUGGUUAUGAUUUGUGUCUCACACAUAGUGCACACACAAGGUCUCCAGUUCGAUCCUGGAUUGAACCA